AACGAACGCUGGCGGCAUGCCUAACACAUGCAAGUCGAACGAGACCUUCGGGUCUAGUGGCGCACGGGUGCGUAACGCGUGGGAACCUGCCUUUAGGUUCGGAAUAACUCAGAGAAAUUUGAGCUAAUACCGGAUGAUGUCUUCGGACCAAAGAUUUAUCGCCUUUAGAUGGGCCCGCGUUGGAUUAGCUAGUUGGUGGGGUAAAGGCCUACCAAGGCGACGAUCCAUAGCUGGUCUGAGAGGAUGAUCAGCCACACUGGGACUGAGACACGGCCCAGACUCCUACGGGAGGCAGCAGUGGGGAAUAUUGGACAAUGGGCGAAAGCCUGAUCCAGCAAUCCCGCGUGAGUGAUGAAGGCCUUAGGGUUGUAAAGCUCUUUUACCCGAGAUGAUAAUGACAGUAUCGGGAGAAUAAGCUCCGGCUAACUCCGUG
rnacentral:rRNA from 1 species